rnacentral:rRNA from 1 species
CACGUAGGGCGCAAGCGUUGUCCGGAAUUACUGGGCGUAAAGAGCUCGUAGGUGGUUUGUCGCGUUGUUCGUGAAAACUCACAGCUUAACUGUGGGCGUGCGGGCGAUACGGGCAGACUGGAGUACUGCAGGGGAGACUGGAAUUCCUGGUGUAGCGGUGGAAUGCGCAGAUAUCAGGAGGAACACCGGUGGCGAAGGCGGGUCUCGUGGGCAGUAACUGACGCUGGAGGAGCGAAAGCGUGGGGAGCGAACAGG